GUGACGAUUCACGGCGAGCGCGUGGUGACCCUCCUGGAUACGGGCUCCACCCAUAACUUCCUGCCUGAGGCUACCAUGCGGCGCUUAGCACUUCAGCCGACGGGCGGGGAGCAACUUCGGGUUACCGUGGCUAACGGCGACCGUCUCCGGUGCCAUGGGCUGGCACGGAACGUGCCCGUCACCAUCGGCGACGAGCAGUUCACCAUCACGUGCGCCGGCAUCAACUUGGGCUGCUUCGACUUCAUCCUCGGCGUCGACUUUUUGCGGAGUCUCGGCCCCAUCCUCUGGGACUUCGACGCCCUGACGAUGACCUUCUGUCGUCUUGGCCGCCGCGUCCGGUGGGAAGGCGUUGGGCGCGCCUCAUCAGCGACGCCCCAGCUCCAGAUGGCCGCGACCACCACCGAGGCCGAGCCUCCCCUGUUGGAUCACCUCCUGCAGCAGCACAACGACCUCUUCGACGAGCCGCAGGGCCUUCCGCCAGCCCGGGUCUACGACCACCGUAUUCAUCUUCUGUCGGGCUCGGCACCGAUGGCAAUACGGCCCUACCGGUAUCCUCAGCUGCAGAAGGACGAGCUGGAGCGGCAGGGCGCGCUCAUGCUCGCCUUGGGCAUUAUUCGGAUCUCCACAUCACUGUUCCCCGCGCCGGUCCUCCUCGUCCACAAGUCGGACGGCACGUGGCGUUUCUACAUCGACUACCGCGCCCUUAAUGCCCUGACUCUUAAGGACAAGUUUCCUAUCCCGGUGGUCGAUGAGCUCCUGGACGAGCUACAUGGGGCACGCUUCUUCACCAAGCUCGAUCUCCGGUCGGGCUACCACCAGGUGCGAUGCACCUGGAUGAUAUCGCCAAGACAGCGUUUCGGACUCACCACGGCCACUGCGAGUUCUUGGUCAUGUCGUUUGGUCUCUCCAACGCACCGGCGACUUUUCAGGCUCUGA
rnacentral:rRNA from 1 species